CAGUCGCCACGGUAAUACGUAGGUCCCGAGCGUUGUCCGGAUUUAUUGGGCGUAAAGCGAGCGCAGGCGGUUAGAUAAGUCUGAAGUUAAAGGCUGUGGCUUAACCAUAGUACGCUUUGGAAACUGUUUAACUUGAGUGCAAGAGGGGAGAGUGGAAUUCCAUGUGUAGCGGUGAAAUGCGUAGAUAUAUGGAGGAACACCGGUGGCGAAAGCGGCUCUCUGGCUUGUAACUGACGCUGAGGCUCGAAAGCGUGGGGAGCAAACAGGAUUAGAUACCCCAGUAGUCCCUGUUUCUUAUACA
rnacentral:rRNA from 1 species